UACGUAUGGUGCAAGCGUUAUCCGGAUUCACUGGGUGUAAAGGGAGCGUAGACGGCUUUGCAAGCCAGAUGUGAAAGCCCGGGGCUCAACCCCGGGCAUGCAUUGGAAACUGGCGGGCUGGAGUGCCGGAGAGGUAAGCGGAAUUCCUAGUGUAGCGGUGAAAUGCGUAGAUAUUAGGAGGAACACCAGUGGCGAAGGCGGCUUACUGGACGGCAACUGACGCUGAGGCUCGAAAGCGUGGGGAGCAAACAGG
rnacentral:rRNA from 1 species